rnacentral:lncRNA from 1 species
GUCUGGGUAACGGGGUCUGCAGCGGAGCCGCGAUGGAUGUGGAGGAGGUGAAAGCGUUCAGAGACCGCUGUUCUCAGUGUGCUGCUGUCUCCUGGGGCCUUACCAAAGAAGGCAAAUAUUACUGUACUUCCUGACACAGAUCGAUCUGAGGAAGUGGUGAGCGCUGCAGAUAUCCCCAACACCAAGAUCAACUCCAUCAACAGGGGGCUGAGACAGAGAAGCAAGCAUGGAUGAAGUCUUACACAAUUUUUGGAAGCGCUACCUUCAGAAGAGCAAGCAGGCCUAUUGUAAAAACCCAGUUCGUACAAGUGGAAGGAAAGCCAAAGUGAGCCCUGGACCCUGACAUGAGACACUAAAAUUCACUUUGUGUGGCAGAAAGACAAAGGCGUUUUUUUUUUUUUUUUUUUUUUUUGUGACUGCUUGAGUUUGACUGUGGUGCUUGCCUGUAGAUUUUCAGGGAGGAGGCUCCUGGUGCAAUCCAGAAUGAUCUAGACUUUACAGUGAAUUGUGGCCAUUUAUUAAACUAGUUGUAACAUAAAAGUUAUCUUCUGUCUUAGUUAGGGUUUUACUGCUGUGAACAGACACCAUGAUCAAGGCACUUCUUAUAAAGGACAACAUUUAAUUGGGGUUGGCUUCAGGUUCAGAGGUUCAGUCCAUUAUCAUCAAGGCAGGAACAUGGCCGAAUCUAGGCAGACAUGGUGCAGGUGGAGCUGUUAGUCUACUUCAUCUGAAGACUCCUACCAGAAUACUGGCUUCCAGGCAGCUAGGAUGAGGGUCUUAUAGCCCACACCCAGACCCUCUUCUGGUCUGUCUGUGCUGGUGCCCUGAUCAGACCUUGGGUGUGAACUCUGCAGCCAGCCCCACAACACCCAGAGGUAGCUCUACUCCCAGGCACUCUAACACACCCAGGAUCAUAGGAUCAGAGGUGAGGAGGACACAACAUCUGACCCAACACCAGGAGUAACUGGGACCAGUGCUACCCAGGCGUGCAGGAACUCCACCAGACCAGUGGCUUGGGUUCCUUCUGGUCUGUCUAGGCCAGUGCCCCAAGCAGACUUUGGUCACAAACUCCACAGCCCUACAACACCCAGAGGCAGCUCCACUCUCAGGUGGUCACACCCAUCUGGAUCCCAGGACAUUGGUCACACAAGGAUCUCAGGGUUCCAGAGGUAGUUUGACUCCCAGGAGCUCUGACAUACCUAGGAUCUCAGGAUCACAGGAUCCCAGAAUCACAGGAUCACAGAGACAGCUUGACUCUGAGGAGUUCUGACACAACAAGGAUCACAGGAAGGACCGGCUCCAGUCAGACAUAACCAGGGCAGGUAGCACUAGAGAUAACCAGAUGGCUGGAGGCAAGCAAAAGAACAGAAGCAACAGAAAGCAAGGUUACUUGGCAUCAUCAGAACCCAAUUCUCCCACCAUAGCAAGACCUGGAUACCCCAACGAACCAGAAAAGCAAGAUUCAGAUCUAAAAUCACUUCUCAUGAUGAUGAUAGAGGACUUUAAGAAGGACAUAAAUAACUCCCUUAAAGAAAUACAGGAGAACACAGGUAAACAGCUAGAAGCCCUUAAAGAGGAAACACAAAAAUCCCUUAAAGAAUUACAGGAAAACACAAUCAAAGGAAAAGGAAAAAAACAAAACUCUCCAGGAUCUAAAAAUGGAACUAGAAACAACAAAGAAACCACAAAGGGAGACAACCCUGGAUCAGAUCAGCAGUCAUAGAUGCAAGCAUCACCAACAGAAUACAAGAUAGAAGAGAGAAUCUCAGGGGCAGAAGAUACCAUAGAAAACAUUGAUACAACAGUAAAAGAAAACACAAAAAGCAAAAAGCUCCUAACCCAAAAUAUCCAGGAAAUCCAGGACACAAUGAGAAGACCAAACCUAAGGAAAAUAGGUAUAGAAGAGAGAGAAGAUUCCCAACUUAAAGGGCCAGUAAAUAUCUCCAACAAAAUUAUACUUCUAUAAAACUUCCCUAAUCUAAAGAAUGAGAUGCCCAUGAACAUACAAGAAGCCUACAGAACUCGAAAUAGACUGGACCAGAAAAGAAAUUCCUCCUGUCACAUAAUAAUCAAAACACCAAAUGCACUAAACAAAGAAAGAAUUUUAAAAGCAUUAAGGGAAAAAGGUCAAGUAACAUAUAAAGGCAGACCUAUCAGAAUUACACCAGACUUCUUACCAGAGACUAUGAAAGCUCGAAGAUCCUGGACAGAUGUCAUAUAGACCCUAAGAGAACACAAAUGCCAAUUCAGGCUACUAUACCCAACAAAACUCUCAAUUACCAUAGAUGGAGAAAACAAGAUAUUCCAUGACAAAACCAAAUUUACACAAUGUCUUUCCACAAAUCCAGCCCUACAAAGGAUAAUAGAUGGAAAACACCAACACAAAGAGUGAAACUACAUCCUAGAAGAAGAAAGUAAUCUUUCAACAAACCCACACAAACAUAAUUUCACCUUUAACAACAAAAAUAACGGGAAGUAACAAUCACUUUUCCUUAAUAUCUCUUAAUAUGAAAAUUAAUAUUACCAAUAUAUCCUAAUCGAUUGAAAUUGAAAAAUAUGAGCAAUUAGAAAUUUGUUGGCUGUCAUCCAGUGGUCUCUUUAAUUUGGUAAUUGGAGAAAUAGGUCUUAUAUUGUACAAUCCAUACACACUUUCUGCUUGUUUGUACAUGACAGUGUUGCUGUGUGCCACACAAUGGUCUUGAAAUCAUGCUUCUCCUAUCUCAGCCUCUCUACUAGUAGGAUUGUUUAUUUGAUGUUCUUACACUAUACUAUGGUUUUCAGAACAGCUUACUUAUUUUAAAAUGAUUUACACAGCCAAAAGAAGACAAUUAAUUUGGGAUGUGGCUUGAAAGAGAACAGCAAAGAGUGAGACUGAAUGCUCUACUUGAUAUUUAUAAUUAUUUUAUCAAUUUUGAAGAAGAGGACUUUUUUGUUUGUUUGUCUGUUUGUUUGUUUGUUUUUGAGACAGGGUUUCUCUGUAAAGCCCUGGCUGUCCUGGAACUCACUUUGUAGACCAGGCUGGCCUCGAACUCAGAAAUCCGCCUGCCUCUGCCUCCCGAGUGCUAGAAUUAAAGGUGUGCGCCACCACACCCAGCUAGAAGAGGACUUUGUAAGUUACUCUUAUUCUGAGAUGAAUGCUUUUCAAAAUCAUCACAGCCAAGGAACUAGAAUCUUACCCUCAUGUGAUGUCUGUGCCACCCUCCAAACAGAACCAUACUUCAUUGAAACAUUCGAUGAAUGACUUCAUGAAUAGACCAUCUCAAUACUCACACCAUUUCUUAAAGGCAUGUAACCUAUCCCUUGUGGGCUGAGAAUGAAGACAAUCACUCAAUUCAAGUAGCUUUGACCAUAGCAGGAAAUCUGUAUCUAAAAAUCGUGCCUACAAUUCAUUCCUUGGUGCAGCAAACUUGUCAACUCUUAGCUUAGCUACUAUGGAGGUGAAAUCCUUUGGUGAUGUAAGGUAAAUUGAAGCAUAGCCUUAUUACACUGACCUCCAAUUCCAAAAAUUGUUCUUAUUUUGGGUUUGUACCACAGUAAGAGCCAAGAUUUUAAGCUCUACUAAAAACUAACUAACUAACUAACUAACUAACUAACUAACUAACUAACUAACUAACUAACUAACAAAAAGACUUUAUUUAUGUUCAUUAAAGCAAACUAAUAGCCGGGGUGGUGGUGGUGGUGGCGCACACCUUUAAUCCCAGCACUUGGGAGGCAGAGGUAGGCAGAUUCCUGGGUUCAAGGACAGCCUGGUCUACAAAGUGAGUUCCAGGACAGCCAGGGCUAUACAGAAAAACCCUGUCUCGAAAAAAACCAAAACCAAACCAAACCAAACC